GCAGAGACCCGCUUUGGAGAGGGGGCGAGCCAGGUAGCUAUCUGGGGGAGAGCGCUCCGCAGAGGGCCUGGUGCGCAGGCCCUGAGAAGAGGGCAGGGGAGCGGGAGCGGCCGGCUGGGGUGCCCACAGCGCAGAGUGCAGAGCAGAGAGCGGGACCGGGGCUCGUGCGCCGGGGGACGCUCAGGAGCCGCCGCAAGCCCCGGCAGCUCCGCUCCGGCCCCUCAGCCUUGCCCAGGUGGCGCGGGGCUGGGGACAGGCGGCCUGCUCGGGGGACGCAGGGGCCGCUGCUCACGGAGGCCCCCGGCUGACAGGCAGGUGUGGGCAGGUGGGCUCCGCGAGGAAACGGGGAGAGCCCGCACCUUCCCGCCAGCCCUGGGCCAAGGGGAGCCCCUUGCAGACGCCUCCACGUGCCGCCCCCCCGGGCCGGUCCCCCCGUGUGCUGCAGAGCUGCCCCCAUGGCUCCACUUAGAGGUGCGCAGGUCACUGUCCUCGCUGCUCCUCACAGUCUUGUUGAGACACCGCCCACCUGUGCACAGGGCGCGCUUCCGUGCUUUCUGUACACGCAGGAGUCGUGCACCCAACGGCCUAUCCAGUUCCAGAACAUCACCCCAAGGGCACCCCGUCCCCAUUAGUCAUUGCCUGCCCCCCCAGCCCCCUCCCCGUGCGUGGACGAGCCCGUCCUGGACGUGUCACACGCAUGGACUCGCACCCGAGGGGCCUCCUGUGUCUGGUUCCCUCCCCGAGCGUCGGGGGCUCAGGGUCCAUCCCCAGGGCAGUGUCAGGGGGCCUCACUCCCGCCGGCGACCAAGUGGUGCUCCUGCGCGUGGCUGGGCCACAUCCCCCGUGGACGUGCGAUGGUGGGUUUUGUGUGACGUGCGUCCUUGUUGCCCCCCGGGCGCGUGCGCAGCCGCGGAACCGCGGGGUCGGUCGAUGACUGCGUGCGGCUCUUCCAGGGACCGCGGGGCCGUGUCUGAAGCGGCUGCCCCGGGUCACGGCCCCCCGGCCUGGUGGGGUUCUGAUGGCUCCGCGUCCUCGCGUCCUCGCCGCCACUUGUCAUCGUGUGUUGCGGGCAGGCCGCGUGUCCCGGGUUCUGGGGUGCGGUGCCUGGGCCCAGGGCGCUGGGCGGCCUCCGUCGUGUCUUUGGAGACUUGCCUGUUGGUUCUUGAGCUGUUUUUAGUUGGGUGGUUUGUAUCUCGGUCGAUGAAGUACCAGGGUUGUGUGUGUAUCUGGGAUUCAGUUCCCACGCCCUAUGCAGCUCUUGCUACCAGCCCCCCACUGGGCUCAGACCCCUUUGAGGGCCCCUUUGCCUUCGGCAGCGCGGGGAGCGCAGGGGUCGCGGCCUGUGCUGCGGUGGUGCCCGCUGCCCCGAUGGAGGUGCCUGGCGCUCCUGGAUGUCAGCAGGGAAGGGCCAGGCCGAGCCGCGGUGUCGCUGCCCCGGGGGACGGUCACAGCCCCCUGUGCCCGUGA
rnacentral:lncRNA from 1 species